rnacentral:rRNA from 1 species
GGCCUUCUUAGGUCUGGCAAUUGGAAUNAGAACAAUUUAAACCCCUUAUCGAGUAUCAAUUGGAGGGCAAGUCUGGUGCCAGCAGCCGCGGUAAUUCCAGCUCCAAUAGCGUAUAUUAAAGUUGUUGCAGUUAAAAAGCUCGUAGUUGGAUUUCUGGCNGGANCGACCGGCCNCGCACCCUGNGCGNGAACUNGCGUUNUCUCNGGCCAUCCUCGGGGAGAUCCUGUNUGGCAUUAAGUUGUCGGGCAGGGGAUACCCAUCGUUUACUGUGAAAAAAUUAGAGUGUUUAAAGCAGGCUUAUGCCGUUGAAUAUAUUAGCAUGGAAUAAUAAGAUAGGACUUCGANNCUAUUUUGUUGGUUUGCGAGNCAAAGUAAUGAUUAAUAGGGACAGUUGGGGGUAUUCGUAUUUCAUUGUCAGAGGUGAAAUUCUUGGAUUUCNGAAAGACGAACUACUGCGAAAGCAUUUACCAAGGAUGUUUUCAUUAAUCAAGAACGAAAGUUAGGGGAUCG